rnacentral:rRNA from 1 species
AGAGUUUGAUCAUGGCUCAGAGCGAGCGCUGGCGGCAGGCCUAACACAUGCAAGUCGAACGGAUCCUUCGGGAUUAGUGGCGGACGGGUGAGUAACACGUGGGAACGUGCCCUUUGGUUCGGAACAACUCAGGGAAACUUGAGCUAAUACCGGAUGUGCCCUUCGGGGGAAAGAUUUAUCGCCAUUGGAGCGGCCCGCGUCUGAUUAGCUAGUUGGUGAGGUAACGGCUCACCAAGGCGACGAUCAGUAGCUGGUCUGAGAGGAUGACCAGCCUCAUUGGGACUGAGACACGGCCCAAACUCCUACGGGAGGCAGCAGUGGGGAAUAUUGGACAAUGGGCGCAAGCCUGAUCCAGCCAUGCCGCGUGAGUGAUGAAGGCCCUAGGGUUGUAAAGCUCUUUCACCGGUGAAGAUAAUGACGGUAACCGGAGAAGAAGCCCCGGCUAACUUCGUGCCAGCAGCCGCGGUAAUACGAAGGGGGCUAGCGUUGUUCGGAUUUAC